CUUCUAUAUGGAUCUUGAGUUUAUGGACUUCAGGGGGAGUAUGGUCACAAGGCUGAAACUUAAAGGAAUUGACGGAAGGGCACACCAGGAGUGGAGCCUGCGGCUUAAUUUGACUCAACACGGGAAAACUUACCAAGACCGAACAGUAGAAGGAAUGACAGAUUAAGAGUUCUUUCAUGAUUUAUUGGGUAGUGGUGCAUGGCCGUUCUUAGUUGGUGGAGUGAUUUGUCAGGUUAAUUCCGGUAACGAACGAGACUGAAACCUAUUAAUUAGUUUUCUGCCUAUAAGACAGAAAUGUUCGCAAGAACAGGUGCGUAAGUACCACUUCUUAAAGGGACACAUUUCAAUUGUCCUAUUUUAAUUGUAGUUAUCUAAUUUCGGGUUGAAC
rnacentral:rRNA from 1 species